UCAUACACACAUUUGUUUAUAACAAAAAGUAAUAAAAACAUAUGUAGAUUUUUUUAAAUUGGACGUAUUGCUAUUUUUAUCCUAGUCGAAAUUAUGAAACGAAACGUUUUGACAGUCCGUUUGCCAAUAAGCAGUGAUCAGUUUCUUUUGUUUGUUUUUCUAUUGUUUACAUAAUAUAUUAGAUGAUGACUUACCUCCAAAACGCUUUAAAACUUUCGUUUAUAAUUCUAAGUGUGUUUAUAAUUAAAGAGCUACAGUGAAACAAAAUGAAUUCUUCAAGAAAGGCAGCACCCAUGACAAAAGAUGAGACGAUGAUUCUAGCAGAACUUGUGGCGGCGAAAAAACAUUUCAAUAAUAAGGCAACAAAUGCCACAACAAUAAAUUGAAGGAGCAGGCUUGGCAAACCCUUGUAAAUGAUUUUAAUUCGUCGAUUCGUCGUUUCCCACGAACUCCAUCGCAGCUUCGACUAAAAUGGGAAAACUUAAAGAACGCUACGGCAACAUAAGAAACAACCUUAGUAAGGCUGGAGGUGGUAAGGAUUGCAGAUGAAAUUUUGGAUAAAGCAUGCACAUUGUUGUAGGUCACAUGAGUCGUCUAUUAUCAAAGGUGGCAAUCUGUGCAUUUGGACAAAAAAUGUUAUUGUUAUGUCAAUACAGAUUGAUUUGAAUAUAAUCGUCUCCUUCAAAGAAUACGGUUCAAAACCUGCAUUAAAUAAAGCCAAGCGGAAACAAGAUGGAAGAAAAGAAAUGCAAGGCUAGCAUAGGGACAAUGCAUUAGCAGAAUAUCUAAUAGCAAAAAAGAGACUUGGAAAAUAAAGAAAAGGAGAUUGUUGUAGCAAAAGUUAAGUUAGAUUUAGAUAAUUUAAAAAAUUAAAAAUUACUUAAAAGGAAUAUUAAAUUUCAUAAAUUAAGUAGGCAAUAAUAAUUUUAUGUUAGAUAGUUUUUUAAGUAUAUGUACAAAUUCUAAAUUAAAUAUCUUGCAUGUACUAACUACCAUGUAAUUAUCAUUUUGGAAAAUAAAAAAUAGUCAAAUUA